CCCUUAGAUGUUCUGGGCCGCACGCGCGCUACACUGAAGGGAUCAGCGUGUUUUCCCUUUCCGAGAGGAACGGGUAACCCGCUGAACCCCCUUCGUGGUAGGGAUCGGAGCUUGCAAUUGUUCUCCGUGAACCAGGAAUUCCCAGUAAGCGCAAGUCAUAAGCUUGCGUUGAUUACGUCCCUGCCCUUUGUACACACCGCCCGUCGCUACUACCGAUUGAACGUUUUAGUGAGGUAUUUGGACUGGGCCUUGGGAGGUUUCGGCCUCCCUUGUUGCUCGGAAAGACGCCCAAACUUGAGCGUUUAGAGGAAGUAAAAGUCGUAACA
rnacentral:rRNA from 1 species